UCUCAUCUCAUUCAGUAAACCUAACCUAACCCACCUAUUAGCUUCUUCGACAGACAACUGUCUUCUCUCUCUCUCUUUUCCUCCAAAACCCUACCCAUCUACCGACAACGACGGCGAUUUUCUCCAUCGUCCGACCGACUAACAACGACUGAAAGACGAUCGGCGAUCUGUUCUUUUCUUUUUUUUAACUCCAUUUUCUGAGAAUCCCAGAUCCCUUUCUUCGACUGAAAGAGGAUCGCCGCUGAUCGUGGUGGUGGUGACUUACCACUAAUGAGAUCUGUUCUUUUUUAAAAGUAAAGAGGUGGUGAGAGUCAGAGUGUGAAGGUUCUACACACAGAAGGAGAAGAAGCUUACAGACAGACAGUUCGAAAACCAGAGAGAAGAAGCUUGCAGUAGUUCAAAAACCAGAGAGGUUUAGAUGGCUCAUGGUUUGGCUCAAGGAAAUGAAUGACUUCUUUUGUUUUUUUUUUUUGAAUGACUGUAAUAGUAUUGUUUGGAUGCACAAUUGCACAAUAUUUUGGAUGACUGUAACUUGUUUUUUUUGAGCUUUGGAUGAUUGUAA